rnacentral:rRNA from 1 species
CUGUGUCAGCGGUGCAAUUGCGUAGAUAUAGAAGGGAACACCAGUCGCGAAUGGCGACCACCUGUACUGACUACCUGACACUUGGAGGUGUGGAAAAGCCUUGGCAGCAAAACACGGGAUUAGAUUACCUUGGUUAGGUCACGCCGUAAAACGAUGUCAACUUAGCGGUUGGAAUCCCUGAAGUUUUAGGGGCGCCAGUUACGCAAUAAGUUGACCGCCUUGGGAGGACCGCCCCCAGGGUAAAACUCAAAAUAAAUUGCCGGGGGCCGCACCAGCCGUUGGGCCUGUGGGUUUAUUUGAAGCCAAGCGAAGGACCUUACCUGGGCCUGACCUGGUGGAGACUUUCCAGAGAAGGAAUUGGUGCUUCGGGGAAUUAAGCCAAGGUGGCGCAUUGCUGUCGUCCGCUCCUGUCCUGAGAUUGUUGGUUAAAUUCCGUUACGAGGGCCACCCUUGUCCUUAGUUACCCGCCCGUUAUGGUGGGCACUCUAAGGAGACUGCCGGUGACAAACCGGAGGAAGGUGGGGAUGACGUCAAGUCAUCAUGGCCCUUACGGCCAGGGCUACACACGUGCUACAAUGGUCGGUACAAAGGGUUGCCAAGCCGCGAGGUGGAGCUAAUCCCAUAAAACCGAUCGUAGUCCGGAUCGCAGUCUGCAACUCGACUGCGUGAAGUCGGAAUCGCUAGUAAUCGUGAAUCAGAAUGUCACGGUGAAUACGUUCCCGGGCCUUGUACACACCGCCCGUCACACCAUGGGAGUGGGUUGCUCCAGAACGUAGUAAAUCUAGCACACGGUGUACGAGAGCACAGAGAACUACAGAUC